rnacentral:rRNA from 1 species
GACGUAGGGCGCGAGCGUUGUCCGGAUUUAUUGGGCGUAAAGAGCUCGUAGGCGGCUCGUUGCGUCAAUCGUGAAAACCCGGGGCUUAACUUCGGGCUUGCGGUUGAUACGGGCGGGCUGGAGUUCGGUAGGGGAGACUGGAAUUCCUGGUGUAGCGGUGAAAUGCGUGGAUAUUGUGAGGAACACUAGUGGCGAAGGCGAGACUCUGGACAGUUCCUGACGCUGAGGCACGAAGGCCAGGGGAGCAAACGGG